UUUUCAGCAUUCCCCUACUGUUUUGGGAAACGUCAUAUUCUUAUCUUGGAAGAGUAAUCUCAAAAUUGAAGCAUCUUAGAGCCAACAAGAAUUAAAAGGAUGGGAUGUCCUUGCAUAGAGGUCCAAUAGAGUCAGAAGACUUUGGGUUUUGGAGUCUGAGAGAUGAUGUACUCACAUCCCAACAAACUGAAAAUGCUGACCAGUCCCAGCACAGCCAACUUGAAUUUGCUCCUCUAUCAAAGUGCCCAGCACCUCAUUUCUUCCUCUUUAGAAUUUAUAGAGGCUUAUGGCUAUUGAUACUCAGCAUCCUGGCUUCACUCACAUGGAUGAGCCCCAGCUGGAAUGCCUAGAAGACAUGGGACAGCUGGAUCUCUCUCCACACGGUUUUUCAUUGUUGCCUCAGGUUCUAAUAAAAGCAAAAGCUGCAAGGUCCUCUGAGGCAAAGACUUAGAAAUACCACAGUGUUACUUCUGCUGCAUUCCGUUGAUCAAAAAUCCCACAAUGCCAACUUCAUUUAAAGAGGUAAAGAUACAGAUUUUUUCACCUUCGAUGGGAGGAACUGCAAAUGAUGUAGUUUGUGAUAAUUUUUAAUAUACUGUAAGUAUUGACUUGUCUUUAAAAAAUGAAAACAUGAACCAAAAAUUAAAAGCAAAA